AGUGAACGCUGGCGGUAGGCCUAACACAUGCAAGUCGAACGGCAGCACAGUAAGAGCUUGCUCUUACGGGUGGCGAGUGGCGGACGGGUGAGGAAUACAUCGGAAUCUACUUUUUCGUGGGGGAUAACGUAGGGAAACUUACGCUAAUACCGCAUACGACCUACGGGUGAAUGCAGGGGAUCUUCGGACCUUGCGCGAUUGAAUGAGCCGAUGUCGGAUUAGCUAGUUGGCGGGGUAAAGGCCCACCAAGGCGACGAUCCGUAGCUGGUCUGAGAGGAUGAUCAGCCACACUAGAACUGAGACACGGUCCAGACUCCUACGGGAGGCAGCAGUGGGGAAUAUUGGACAAUGGGCGCAAGCCUGAUCCAGCCAUACCGCGUGGGUGAAGAAGGCCUUCGGGUUGUAAAGCCCUUUUGUUGGGAAAGAAAAGCAGCAGGUUAAUACCCCGCUGUUCUGACGGUACCCAAAGAAUAAGCACCGGCUAACUUCGUG
rnacentral:rRNA from 1 species